GACGAACGCUGGCGGCGUGCUUAACACAUGCAAGUCGAACGCUGAAGCUCAGCUUGCUGGGUGGAUGAGUGGCGAACGGGUGAGUAACACGUGAGUAACCUGCCCUCUUCUUUGGGAUAACGCCCGGAAACGGGUGCUAAUACUGGAUAUUCACUGAUUCUCGCAUGGGGGUUGGUGGAAAGGUUUUUUCUGGUGGGGGAUGGGCUCGCGGCCUAUCAGCUUGUUGGUGGGGUGAUGGCCUACCAAGGCUUUGACGGGUAGCCGGCCUGAGAGGGUGACCGGUCACAUUGGGACUGAGAUACGGCCCAGACUCCUACGGGAGGCAGCAGUGGGGAAUAUCGCACAAUGGGCGAAAGCCUGAUGCAGCGACGCCGCGUGAGGGAUGGAGGCCUUCGGGUUGUAAACCUCUUUCGCUCAUGGUCAAGCCGCAGCUUUGGGUUGUGGUGAGGGUAGUGGGUAAAGAAGCGCCGGCUAACUACGUG
rnacentral:rRNA from 1 species